UACGUAGGGCGCAAGCGUUGUCCGGAAUUAUUGGGCGUAAAGAGCUCGUAGGCGGCCUGUUGCGUCCGCUGUGAAAUCCCGGGGCUUAACCCCGGGCCUGCAGUGGAUACGGGCAGGCUGGAGGCAGGCAGGGGAGAACGGAAUUCCCGGUGUAGCGGUGAAAUGCGCAGAUAUCGGGAGGAACACCUGCGGCGAAAGCGGCUACCUGGACCAUAACCGACGCUGAGGCGCGAAAGCUAGGGGAGCAAACAGG
rnacentral:rRNA from 1 species